rnacentral:rRNA from 1 species
UACGUAGGGUGCGAGCGUUAAUCGGAAUUACUGGGCGUAAAGCGUGCGCAGGCGGUUCGUUGUGUCGGCGGUGAAAGCCCCGGGCUCAACCUGGGAAUGGCCGUUGAAACUGGCGAACUGGAGUGUGGCAGAGGGGGGGUGGAAUUCCGCGUGUAGCAGUGAAAUGCGUAGAGAUGCGGAGGAACACCGAUGGCGAAGGCAGCCCCCCUGGGCUGACACUGACGCUCGAGGCACGAAAGCGUGGGGAGCAAACAGG